CCUAACACAUGCAAGUCGAACGGUAACAGGAAGCAGCUUGCUGCUUCGCUGACGAGUGGCGGACGGGUGAGUAAUGUCUGGGAAGCUGCCUGAUGGAGGGGGAUAACUACUGGAAACGGUAGCUAAUACCGCAUAAUGUCGCAAGACCAUAGAGGGGGACCUUCGGGCCUCUUGCCAUCGGAUGUGCCCAGAUGGGAUUAGCUUGUUGGUGGGGUAACGGCUCACCAAGGCGACGAUCCCUAGCUGGUCUGAGAGGAUGACCAGCCACACUGGAACUGAGACACGGUCCAGACUCCUACGGGAGGCAGCAGUGGGGAAUAUUGCACAAUGGGCGCAAGCCUGAUGCAGCCAUGCCGCGUGUAUGAAGAAGGCCUUCGGGUUGUAAAGUACUUUCAG
rnacentral:rRNA from 1 species